ACGGGUGAGUAACGCGUGGGAAUCUACCGUGCCCUGCGGAAUAGCUCCGGGAAACUGGAAUUAAUACCGCAUACGCCCUACGGGGGAAAGAUUUAUCGGGGUAUGAUGAGCCCGCGUUGGAUUAGCUAGUUGGUGGGGUAAAGGCCUACCAAGGCGACGAUCCAUAGCUGGUCUGAGAGGAUGAUCAGCCACAUUGGGACUGAGACACGGCCCAAACUCCUACGGGAGGCAGCAGUGGGGAAUAUUGGACAAUGGGCGCAAGCCUGAUCCAGCCAUGCCGCGUGAGUGAUGAAGGCCUUAGGGUUGUAAAGCUCUUUCACCGGAGAAGAUAAUGACGGUAUCCGGAGAAGAAGCCCCGGCUAACUUCGUGCCAGCAGCCGCGGUAAUACGAAGGGGGCUAGCGUUGUUCGGAAUUACUGGGCGUAAGGCGCACGUAGGCGGAUAUUUAAGUCAGGGGUGAAAUCCCAGAGCUCAACUCUGGAACUGCCUUUGAUACUGGGUAUCUUGAGUAUGGAAGAGGUAAGUGGAAUUCCGAGUGUAGAGGUGAAAUUCGUAGA
rnacentral:rRNA from 1 species